rfam:Poecilia formosa, whole genome shotgun sequence.
GGUGUGUUCAUGAUGGUCUGUUUUUAAACUCAACGGAGAAAGCAGACUUGAUGUUUAACACC